AGGUGCUCCAGGACGGAAGCAGGCGUGUGCUGUACUCGAGGGGCGCCCCUAGGUGCGGUGGGACUGACUCCACCUCCGCCGGGGUCGAGGGUCAAGGGUGGGGGCUAGGGCCAACCCACUGAGAAGCAGCACGAGGACGCUGCAGUGAAGGGGAAGAGGGAGCCGGCCGCGCGGGAUCCCAAGCUAACGCCAGGGCACUUGAUCUGGCAUAAAGAACUGGGGACGUUUGUAGGAACAAAGCUGUACGAGUCCACCAGCGUCCCCAUUCCUCACGGGACUCGCCUCCUGCAGGCUGUUAACGGGUGCUGUGGAUUACAGAUGAUCGCUCUCUGGGCACAGUCCUCUGGAAAUGCAGAUGCCCGUGUGGAGGAAAUUCUGGCGGGAGAGGAGCGGCGACUCGCUGCUCUGCUUGGAUCUCAAGGCAUGAGGUUCUGGGUGUGCCUCACAACCUGCGGAGCCACGCGGGGCCUUGCUGCCAGACGAGGACGGGCUGAAGACAGCAGCUCCUCUCCAGUGGAUGCCUCCAAGUUCCCAUGGAGGGGUGGGGAGCAUCGCACUGCCAUGAUGCCCUGUCUGCUGCGGGUGGGAGUUUUCAGGCCCUGUCACGUGAGACCCAUGGGGGCUCCUUCCUUCGAUUUGCAGCCUCCACAACUUGGCUUCUCCAGAGUGCCAGAUACACAGGUAGCAUUUUAUGGCAGUGGUCACUGGGACCCAACUCCCUUCUCUGUACACAGCUGUUUUUUUAAUUUCUAGGUCAGAAAAAUUAUCUUCCUACUUUGAACUCUUUCUCUCUUUUGCCAAAAAUGUUUUUCUCUUACACCGCAGAAGUAGAACGCAGCUCCUGCUCUUGAAAUACUGGAUGGAUGUUUCAGAGGGUAUUGUGAGGCUUGGAGCUCCAGCCAGUGACAUUCCAGCCACACCCUUCUCUCCUGGUUCCACUUCACAGAGGCCGGCUGUGUCUCUGGACGACACCUCAGAGCUAAUCUGCUUUCUGGAAGGGUUGUGUUUACUUCUGCUGGUGCUGUGCAUGUAGGAGACAGCUGUGGCUGGCCCUAUUUUCCUGGGGAGGUGGCAGAGGCGGUACUAUGAGCAAGGGAGGACCAGUCAGGGUACACGGGGAGGGUUUGGCCUCUCCAGCCAGGGGCUCACCGCCUCCAUGGUGUAAACA